rnacentral:rRNA from 1 species
AGAGCGAACGCUGGCGGCAGGCCUAACACAUGCAAGUCGAACGGACUCUUCGGAGUUAGUGGCGGACGGGUGAGUAACACGUGGGAACGUGCCUUUAGGUUCGGAAUAGCUCCUGGAAACGGGUGGUAAUACCGAAUGUGCCCUUCGGGGGAAAGAUUUAUCGCCUUUAGAGCGGCCCGCGUCUGAUUAGCUUGUUGGUGAGGUAAAGGCUCACCAAGGCGACGAUCUGUAGCUGGUUUGAGAGGACGACCAGCCACACUGGGACUGAGACACGGCCCAGACUCCUACGGGAGGCAGCAGUGGGGAAUUUUGGACAAGUGGGGAAACCCUGAAUCCGAGCCAU